rnacentral:rRNA from 1 species
UACCAGACUCCUACGGGAGGCAGCAGUGGGGAAUAUUGCACAAUGGGGGAAACCCUGAUGCAGCAACGCCGCGUGAGUGAAGAAGUAUUUCGGUAUGUAAAGCUCUAUCAGCAGGGAAGAAAAUGACGGUACCUGAGUAAGAAGCCCCGGCUAACUACGUGCCAGCAGCCGCGGUAAUACGUAGGGGGCAAGCGUUAUCCGGAUUUACUGGGUGUAAAGGGAGCGUAGACGGCGAUACAAGUCUGAAGUGAAAGCCCGGGGCUCAACCCCGGGACUGCUUUGGAAACUGGCAGGCUGGAGUGCCGGAGAGGCAGGCGGAAUUCCUAGUGUAGCGGUGAAAUGCGUAGAUAUUAGGAGGAACACCAGUGGCGAAGGCGGCCUGCUGGACGGUGACUGACGCUGAGGCUCGAAAGCGUGGGGAGCAAACAGGAUUAGAUACCCCAGUAACC